rnacentral:lncRNA from 1 species
UUAGGGACAAACCUUUUUUAUUUCUUUGAGAAUGUGCCAGAAAUGUAGGUUAUUUAUAAGAAAUCCAGGGGAUAGUAACAACAUUUGCAUUUUCAAAGAAGGAUUCUGAAGGAGGACAAUCUUUUUUCCCUCCCUCCUUUUCUUCCUACUAUGUCUCUUGACACCAAGCAAAAUAAUGAAAGAUGAAAGGAGGUAUGAUUUAAGUUCAUUUUAAAAAUCAUGAAAGUUACAUAUGGAGGAAAUGAACUGCAAAAUCUAAGACACCAAAAUUGGAAGAUAACUUUGAACCCUGAAACUUGAAAGAUCAUGACUCAGGACAAAUAAAAGGCAUCUCCAAAAAGGAGAAAUAGUUACUUUCCUCAAGAAGUUAUAUUCUCCUGUUAUCUCCCUCUUCCCUUGUCUUAUUUCCCUUCAACUUCUCUGUGAGUAAGAUAGAAUUCUAUACUCCACUAAGUAUACAUGUUUUACCUUCUUUGAACCAGUUACUAUGAGAGUAAAGUUUAAGCAUUGCCUGCCACCAUUCUUAUCCUCCCCUCUCUAUAAUAAUUUUUCAUGCCUUUUUAUGUUACAUAAUUUCUCCUUGUUUGUUCUUUCAGUCCUGUAUUCAUUUUGUGGAGAUCUUUUCAUCUUUGUGAGAGAUUAUUCUCAUGAUGACACAGAGCUGCUCUGUUUUACUCCUCCAUCUUGGCUCCAGCUCCCAGAAGUCAAGAAGUUACAUUCUCCUUUCUCUUCCUCUUUGGAAGUCUUAACAUGGCUGCAGCAUGCUUGGUUUGGGAUCUCUUGAUUAUCUUUGACUUGGUUUAGCCCAUCUACAAAGAUAGUUUCCUGAUGGUAUGUCAUUGGGCAUUCUAGGCUUUAUUGAUACAACAAAGGAGAGCUCCGUGGCAUGUAGACAUUAAGGGAAGAAAGUAAUCACCACCAAGCUCAGGACAGGAAGUAAAGAGCAGAAAUCCUAAAAAUUAAGGGAGAAAUUAAUAAAAUCGAAAGUGAUAGAACUAUUGAUUUAAUA